GCAGAGUAAAUGGGGCAGAUCUUACAACUAGGUUUUGCCGAUAUACCAAGUGUAAGCCCAGACAACAACAAGCGCGUUUUAUACACUGAACAUUUCGUGCAAUAGAAAUAUUUCAUUUUCCCAUAUUACAAACCUGUGACCAACAAAUGAGUUAUACGUUUAAUUUAUUAUUUGUACACAUAAGAGUCUUUGAAAGAUUAUGUAGUUUUAUAUAGGUGAUAAGCUCUAAGCCGCUAUGUUUUGUUCUUGACCGUAGAGUUUCGUUUAUCCGUAAUGUUUUACGUGCGUGUUUGCGUGCACAAUGUACAAGUACCGACACACGUCUAUCUUUAACACACUUUCUGAGAGCAUAUUGUCCCUAAAUUCUUGGUGUGUUGUCAAGCAAUUUACUCCUUGAGUUUCUGUUUGGCCUAGCAAAGCCUCAUACUCAUCGUAUUCAAGCGCUUUUUCGUGGCAACAAAAACACUCGAUUGCCUUUUUUGACAAAGUACAAUGUCCACACUUAAACCAGUUUGAAGGCGCUAAGCAUUUGCUUUCUCAAAUUCGGCAUGUCUUUCAUCCUCCGACGAGGACAAGUCGCUCUGCUCACUCUCCUGUUCGGAACCGCUUUCUUCACUAGUUUCGGCCUUCACUUCAGGUUCAUAUUGAUAGGGCAGAACCUCACCCGGUUGAUUUUCGUGUAUGUCAUCCAUUACAGCAAAAAAACCCGUAAAA